rnacentral:rRNA from 1 species
UACGGAGGGUGCAAGCAUUAAUCGGAUUUACUGGGCGUAAAGGGCGCGUAGGCGGGAGAGAAAGUCAAAUGUGAAAUUCCGGUGCUCAACAUCGGAACUGCAUUUGAAACUUCUCUUCUUGAGGAUAGACGGAGAAAGCGGAAUUCCACAUGUAGCGGUGAAAUGCGUAGAUAUGUGGAAGAACACCUGUGGCGAAAGCGGCUUUCUAGUUUACACCUGACGCUGAGGCGCGAGAGUGAGGGGAGCAAACAGG